rnacentral:tRNA from 1 species
UCCAUCGUGGUGUAGUGGUCAGCACGCUCGGCGCGUAUUCGAGAGGUCCAGGGUUCGAGUCCCGGCGAAGGCA